rnacentral:rRNA from 1 species
GAUGAACGCUGGCGGCGUGCCUAAUACAUGCAAGUCGAGCGAAUGGAUUAAGAGCUUGCUCUUAUGAAGUUAGCGGCGGACAGGUGAGUAACACGUGGGUAACCUGCCCUUGACUCUGGGAUAACUGCGGGAAACUGUAGCUAAUACCGGAUACGACCCUCGGAGGCAUCUCCUGGGGGUGGAAAGAAUUUCGGUCAAGGAUGGACUCGCGGCCUAUCAGCUAGUUGGUGAGGUAAAGGCUCACCAAGGCGACGACGGGUAGCCGGCCUGGGAGGGUGACCGGCCACACUGGGAAUGAGACACGGCCCAGACUCCUACGGUAGGCAGCAGUGGGGAAUAUUGCACAAUGGGCGCAAGCCUGAUGCAGCAACGCCGCGUGAGGGAUGACGGCCUUCGGGUUGUAAACCUCUUUUAGCAGGGAAGAAGCGAAAGUGACGGUACCUGCAGAAAAAGCACCGGCUAACUACGUGCCAGCCGCCGCCGUAA